rnacentral:tRNA from 1 species
GGGAAUAUAGCUCAGUUGGUAGAGCACUCGCCCGAUAAGCGAUAGGUCGCUGGUUCAAAUCCAGCUAUUCCCA